rnacentral:rRNA from 1 species
AGUGAACGCCGGCGGCAGGCCUAACACAUGCAAGUCGAACGGCAGCACAGGAGAGCUUGCUCUCUGGGUGGCGAGUGGCGGACGGGUGAGGAAUACAUCGGAAUCCACCUUGUCGUGGGGGAUAACGUAGGGAAACUUACGCUAAUACCGCGUACGACCUUCGGGUGAGAGCAGGGGACCUUCGGGCCUUGCGCGAUUAGAUGAGCCGAUGUCGGAUUAGCUAGUUGGCGGGGUAAAGGCCCACCAAGGCGACGAUCCGUAGCUGGUCUGAGGGGAGGAUCAGCAAGACUGGAACUGGGACACGGUCCAGACUCCUACGGGAGGCAGCAGUGGGGAAUAUUGGACAAUGGGCGCAAGCCUGAUCCAGCCAUGCCGCGUGGGUGAAGAAGGCCUUCGGGUUGUAAAGCCCUUUUGUUGGGAAAGAAAAGCAGUCGGCCAAUACCCGAUUGUUCUGACGGUACCCAAAGAAUAAGCACCGGCUAACUUCGUGCCAGCCGCCGCCGUAAAAC